rnacentral:rRNA from 1 species
GUAAGGAAUAUUGGUCAAUGGACGAAAGUCUGAACCAGCCAUGCCGCGUGGAGGAUGAAGGUCCUCUGGAUUGUAAACUUCUUUUAUAUGGGACGAAAAUGGGGCUUUCUAGCUCAACUGACGGUACCAUAUGAAUAAGCACCGGCUAACUCCGUGCCAGCAGCCGCGGUAAUACGGAGGGUGCAAGCGUUAUCCGGAUUCACUGGGUUUAAAGGGUGCGUAGGUGGAUUGGUAAGUCAGAGGUGAAAUCUCCGGGCUCAACUCGGAAACUGCCUUUGAUACUAUCAAUCUUGAAUAUUGUGGAGGUUAGCGGAAUAUGUCAUGUAGCGGUGAAAUGCUUAGAUAUGACAUAGAACACCAAUUGCGAAGGCAGCUGGCUACACAUAUAUUGACACUGAGGCACGAAAGCGUGGGGAUCAAACAGGAUUAGAAACCCGAGUAGUCC